GACGAACGCUGGCGGCGUGCUUAACACAUGCAAGUCGAACGGAAAGGCCCUGCUUUUGUGGGGUGCUCGAGUGGCGAACGGGUGAGUAACACGUGAGUAACCUGCCCUUGACUUUGGGAUAACUUCAGGAAACUGGGGCUAAUACCGGAUAGGAGCUCCUGCUGCAUGGUGGGGGUUGGAAAGUUUCGGCGGUUGGGGAUGGACUCGCUGCUUAUCCGCUUGUUGGUGGGGUAGUGGCUUACCAAGGCUUUGACGGGUAGCCAGCCUGAGAGGGUGACCGGCCACAUUGGGACUGAGAUACGGCCCAGACUCCUACGGGAGGCAGCAGUGGGGAAUAUUGCGCAAUAGGCGGAAGCCUGAUGCAGCAACGCCGCGUGCGGGAUGACGGCCUUCGGGUUGUAAACCGCUUUCGCCUGUGACAAAGCGUGAGUGACGGUAAUGGGUAAAGAAGCACCGGCUAACUACGUG
rnacentral:rRNA from 1 species